rnacentral:tRNA from 1 species
GCUUUUAUCGUUUAAAUAAGACAAUUUCUUUUCAUGAAAUAAAUAGGAAUUAAAAUUUCCUUAAAAGUU